GAUGAACGCUGGCGGCGUGCCUAAUACAUGCAAGUCGAGCGAACAGACGAGGAGCUUGCUCCUUUGACGUUAGCGGCGGACGGGUGAGUAACACGUGGGUAACCUACCUAUAAGACUGGGAUAACUUCGGGAAACCGGAGCUAAUACCGGAUAAUAUUUCGAACCGCAUGGUUCGAUAGUGAAAGAUGGCUUUGCUAUCACUUAUAGAUGGACCUGCGCCGUAUUAGCUAGUUGGUAAGGUAACGGCUUACCAAGGCAACGAUACGUAGCCGACCUGAGAGGGUGAUCGGCCACACUGGAACUGAGACACGGUCCAGACUCCUACGGGAGGCAGCAGUAGAGAAUCUUCCGCAAUGGGCGAAAGCCUGACGGAGCAACGCCGCGUGAGUGAUGAAGGUCUUCGGAUCGUAAAACUCUGUUAUUAGGGAAGAACAAACGUGUAAGUAACUGUGCACGUCUUGACGGUACCUAAUCAGAAAGCCACGGCUAACUACGUG
rnacentral:rRNA from 1 species